rnacentral:rRNA from 1 species
CCCCUAGAUGUUCUGGGCCGCACGCGCGCUACACUGAACAGUUCAACAAGUCUUAACCUUGGCCGAUAGGUCUGGGUAAUCUUUGAACGCUGUUCGUGAUUGGGAUAGACCUUUGCAAUUAUGGGUCUUCAACGAGGAAUUCCUAGUAAACGCAAGUCAUCAGCUUGCAUUGAUUACGUCCCUGCCCUUUGUACACACCGCCCGUCGCACCUACCGAUUGAAUGGUGCGGUGAAAUCUCGGGACGGCGGCUUGGUCGCUUGCGUCCGACUGCUGAAACUUGAUUAAACCAUAUCAUUUAGAGGAAGGUGAAGUCGUAACA